rnacentral:rRNA from 1 species
GACGAACGCUGGCGGCGUGCUUAACACAUGCAAGUCGAACGGAAAGGCCCUGCUUUUGUGGGGUGCUCGAGUGGCGAACGGGUGAGUAACACGUGAGUAACCUGCCCUUGACUUUGGGAUAACUUCAGGAAACUGGGGCUAAUACCGGAUAGGAGCUCCUGCUGCAUGGUGGGGGUUGGAAAGUUUCGGCGGUUGGGGAUGGACUCGCGGCUUAUCAGCUUGUUGGUGGGGUAGUGGCUUACCAAGGCUUUGACGGGUAGCCGGCCUGAGAGGGUGACCGGCCACAUUGGGACUGAGAUACGGCCCAGACACCUACGGGAGGCAGCAGUGGGGAAUAUUGCGCAAUGGGCGGAAGCCGGAUGCAGAAACGCCGCGUGCGGGAUGACGGCCUUCGGGGUGUAAACCGCGUUCGCCUGUGACGAAGCGUGAGUGACGGUAAUGGGUAAAGAAGCACCGGCUAACUACGUG